AUGGGUUAUGAGAGACUUUGCAGGUAUACCCAAGAUGGCGGGAGGGGCGGGAGGCUGUUUUUUCAACAACGCUGCGAUGGUGGAAAUAGCUGCAGUUUGUGCUGCGUUGAUCUUCUGCAGGGAACAAGGCUGCUCCAAGGUUGAAAUAAAGUCUAUGCUCAAUCUUUAGUUAUGAUGAUCAAUGGUAAGGUUUCUACGGAUGCUACUUUGGACUGUUAUUUAUUCGAUAUUAAGGUCUUAGCGUCUCUACUAGAGAAGAUGAAGUUUCUGUUAGUCCCGCGGAGUAUGGCUGCUCAUGUGGUUGCUUCACAUACCGCCUUGCAUGAUGAUUCUUUCUUAUAGGAUGCUCUUGACCCAGAAUUUCUUUUUAAUAUACUUG
rnacentral:lncRNA from 1 species